UGAAGACAGACAGACAGAGAUACAGGUCAAAAGGUCGUUCCAGACCCUGUCUACUCAGCAGUGAAGACAGACAGACAGAGAUACAGGUCAGAAGGUCGUUCCAGACCCUGUCUACUCAGCAGUGAAGACAGACAGAGAUACAGGUCAAAAGGUUGUUCCAGACCCUGUCUACUCAGCAGUGAAGACAGACAGACAGAGAUACAGGUCAGAAGGUCGUUCCAGAACCUGUCUACUCAGCAGUGAAGACAGACAGAAAGAGAUACAGGUCAGUAGGUCGUUCCAGACCCUGUCUACUCAUCGGUGAAGACAGACAAACGGAGAUACAGGUCAAAAGGUCGUUCCAGACCCUGUCUACUCAGCAGUGAAGACAGACAGACAGAGAUACAGGUCAGAAGGUCGUUCCAGACCCUGUCUACUCAGCAGUGAAGACAGACAGAGAUACAGGUCAAAAGGUUGUUCCAGACCCUGUCUACUCAGCGGUGAAGACAGACAGAGAUACAGGUCAAAAGGUCGUUCCAGACCCUGUCUACUCAGAGGUGAAGACAAACAGACAGAGAUACAGGUCAGAAGGUCGUUCCAGAACCUGUCUACUCAGCAGUGAAGACAGAUAGACAUAGAUACAGGUCAGAAGGUCGUUCCAGACCCUGUCUACUCAGCAGUGAAGACAGACAGAGAUACAGGUCAGAAGGUUGUUCCAGACCCUGUCUACUCAGCGGUGAAGACAGACAGACAGAGAUACAGGUAGAGCUGUAUCUGGAUCCAGGGACGUAACGUACAGACUGAGUGACCCUGUUCAUCAGAACGUUAUGGUGGAUGGAAGAAGAUGCUCUCUUCAGCUGCGGUGAAUAACCACAACCCUGUCAGUCCAUCUCUUUACUUCUCCUUUCUCUUAUCUUCUCUCUCCCUCCUCCCCUUUUCACACCAACAGACUUAUUUUUAGACGCUGCAGCCUUGACCUCCAUCAACAGCAACAGAGAGGUGUGAAGUUUCCACAACACAGUUAGAGUUAGUUUAUCAUGAGAACAUACAGACACCACUGACUGGAACUAUCAACAACAAGAGUUGGUUUAUCAUGAGAACAUACAGACACCACUGACUGGAACUAUCAACAACAAGAGUUAGUUUAUCAUGAGAACGUACAGACACCACUGACUGGAACCAGCUGACAGUAUCAGGUGUAAAGACUUCAUUACUACUAACAGAAGGAAAGUUGUAGUGUUUUGUCCAUGAUGAAUGAUGUAAAGGCUUCAUUACUACUAACAGAAGGAAAGUUGUAGUGUUAUGUCCAUGAUGAAUGAUGUAAAGACUUCAUUCCUACUAACAGAAGGAAAGUUGUAGUGUUUUGUCCAUGAUGAAUGAUGUAAAGGUUUCAUUACUACUAACAGAAGGAGAGUUGUAGUGUUUUGUCCAUGAUGAAUGAUGUAAAGGCUUCAUUACUACUAACAGAAGGAGAGUUGUAGUGUUUUGUCCAUGAUGAAUGAUGUAAAUACUUCAUUACUACUAACAGAAGGACAGUUGUAGUGUUUUGUCCAUGAUGAAUGAUGUAAAGACUUCAAUGUGUUUUAUAUUGAGCUGCUCUGUUAAAUUCUGUUUGUUCAUGUGAAAUUGGAAAGUGUAUUUUUCUAUAAUGUAAUUGUGUGUGUUUAUCUUGAGCAACACCGUUGUAUGGUUGCCAACUUGUCAAAUAAAGCUUCCUAAAAUGUG